rnacentral:rRNA from 1 species
GACGAACGCUGGCGGCGUGCCUAAUACAUGCAAGUCGAACGCAGUGGGGACGGGUGAGUAACACGUGGGUAACCUCCCAUCAGAGGGGAUAACACUUGGACACAGGUGCUAAACCGAUACUGAUGGAUGGACCCUCGGUGCAUUAGCUAGUUGGUGAGGUAACGGCUCACCAAGGCCACGAUGCAUAACCGACCGGGGGGGGGUAGCGGCCACACUGGGACGGAGACACGGCCCAGCCUCUGACGGGAGGCAGCAGUAGGGAAUCUUCGGCAAGUGACGAAAGUCUGACCGAGCAACGCCGCGUGAGUGAAGAAGGUUUUCGGAUCGUAAAACUCGUUUGUUAGAGAAGCGGUAUCUAACCAGAAAGCCACGGCUAACUACGUGCCAGCAGCCGCGGUAAUUC